rnacentral:rRNA from 1 species
AUAGCGUAUAUUAAAGUUGUUGCAGUUAAAAAGCUCGUAGUUGAACUUCAGACCUGGCCGGACGGUCUGCCUAACGGUAUGUACUGUCUGGCUGGGCCUUACCUCUUGGUGAGCCGGCAUGCCCUUCACUGGGUGUGUCGGGGAACCAGGACUUUUACCUUGAGAAAAUUAGAGUGUUCAAAGCAGGCCUAUGCCCGAAUACAUUAGCAUGGAAUAAUAAAAUAGGACGUGCGGUUCUAUUUUGUUGGUUUCUAGAGUCGCCGUAAUGAUUAAUAGGGAUAGUUGGGGGCAUUGGUAUUGAGUCGCUAGAGGUGAAAUUCUUGGAUUGACUCAAGACCAACUAUUG